AUACGUAGGGGGCGAGCGUUGUCCGGAAUGAUUGGGCGUAAAGGGCGGGUAGGCGGCCUGUUAAGUCUGGAGUGAAGGUCUGUUUUUCGAGAGGGGAUUUGUUUUGGAUACGGCGGAGCUUGAGUGCGGGAGAGGUUACCGGAAUUCCGGGGUUGGCGGGGAAAUGCGUAGAGAUCGGGAGGAACACCAGUGGCGAAGGCGGGUAACUGGACUGCAACUGACGCUGAGGCGCGAAAGUGUGGGGAGCAAACAGGAUUAGAUACCCUGGUAGUCCACGCUGUAAACGAUGAUUACUAGGUGUGGGGGGACUGACCCCUUCCGUGCCGCAGUUAACACAAUAAGUAAUCCACCUGGGGAGUACGGCCGCAAGGUUGAAACUCAAAUGAAUUGACGGGG
rnacentral:rRNA from 1 species